rnacentral:rRNA from 1 species
AAUGAACGCUGGCGGCAGGCCUAACACAUGCAAGUCGAACGGAUCCUUCGGGAUUAGUGGCGGACGGGUGAGUAACGCGUGGGAACAUACCCUUUGGUACGGAAUAGCCUCGGGAAACUGGGAGUAAUACCGUAUGUGGUCGAGAGACGAAAGAUUUAUCGCCAAAGGAUUGGCCCGCGUUGGAUUAGGUAGUUGGUGGGGUAAUGGCCUACCAAGCCGACGAUCCAUAGCUGGUUUGAGAGGAUGAUCGGCCACACUGGGACUGAGACACGGCCCAGACUCCUACGGGAGGCAGCAUUGGCGAAUCUUAGACAAUGGGGGAAACCCUGAUCUAGCCAUGCCGCGUGAUCGAUGGAGGCCUUAGGGUUGAAAAGAUCUUUCAGGUGGGAAGAUAAUGACUGUACCACCAGAAGAAGCCCCGGCUAACUCCGUGCCAGCAGCCGCGGUAA